CAGUCGCCGCGGGAAUACGUAAGUGGCGAGCGUUGUCCGGAAUUAUUGGGCGUAAAGGGAGCGCAGGCGGACAUAUAAGUCCAUCUUAAAAGUGCGGGGCUCAACCCCGUGAGGGGAUGGAAACUGUAUGCCUUGAGUGCAGGAGAGGAAAGCGGAAUUCCCAGUGUAGCGGUGAAAUGCGUAGAUAUUGGGAGGAACACCAGUGGCGAAGGCGACUUUCUGGACGAAAACUGACGCUGAGGCGCGAAAGCCAGGGGAGCGAACGGGAUUAGAUACCCGUGUAGUCCCUGUCUCUUAUACA
rnacentral:rRNA from 1 species